UACGUAGGGGGCAAGCGUUGUCCGGAGUUACUGGGCGUAAAGCGCACGCAGGCGGUCUUUUAAGUUUGGAGUGACAGUUGGUGGCUUAACUGCCAAAGUGCUUCGAAAACUGACAGACUUGAGGGCUUCAGAGGGACACGGAAUUCCGGGUGUAGCGGUGGAAUGCGUAGAGAUCCGGAAGAACACCGGUGGCGAAGGCGGUCUGCUGGGCAGUUGCUGACACUGAGGCGCGACAGCGUGGGGAGCAAACAGG
rnacentral:rRNA from 1 species